UGCCAGCCUCCUCGGUAAUACAGAGGGUGCAAGCGUUAAUCGGAAUUACUGGGCGUAAAGAGUGCGUAGGUGGUUGAAUAAGUUAGGUGUGAAAUCCCCGGGCUUAACCUGGGAAUUGCGCUUAAAACUGUUCGGCUAGAGUACUGUAGAGGGAAGUGGAAUUUCCGGUGUAGCGGUGAAAUGCGUAGAUAUCGGAAGGAACACCAGUGGCGAAGGCGACUUUCUGGACAGAUACUGACACUGAGGCACGAAAGCGUGGGGAGCAAACAGGAUUAGAUA
rnacentral:rRNA from 1 species